rnacentral:rRNA from 1 species
CCUACGGGGUGCAGCAGUGAGGAAUAUUGGUCAAUGGGCGCAAGCCUGAACCAGCCAAGUCGCGUGAGGGAUGACGGUCCUAUGGAUUGUAAACCUCUUUUGUCGGGGAGCAAGGCCCGCCACGUGUGGCGGGAAGGAGAGUACCCGAAGAAAAAGCAUCGGCUAACUCCGUGCCAGCAGCCGCGGUAAUACGGAGGAUGCGAGCGUUAUCCGGAUUUAUUGGGUUUAAAGGGUGCGUAGGCGGAAGGUUAAGUCAGCGGUAAAAUGUCGGUGCUCAACACCGGCCUGCCGUUGAAACUGGUCUUCUUGAGUGAGCGAGAAGUAUGCGGAAUGCGUGGUGUAGCGGUGAAAUGCAUAGAUAUCACGCAGAACUCCGAUUGCGAAGGCAGCAUACCGGCGCUCAACUGACGCUGAGGCACGAAAGCGUGGGGAUCGAACAGGAUUAGAUUCCCCUGUAGUC